UCUAUCACAGCUCAGUCGGUAGAGCUCGAGGCUCUUAAUUUCAGGGUUGUGGGUUCGAGUCCUAGGUAAAGGUAAAG